rnacentral:rRNA from 1 species
GUGAUUCCCUUAGUAAUGGCGAAUGAAACGGGAAGAGCCCAUCGUCGAAUCGCAAGCCAUCUCGGCUUUGUGAAAUGUGACGUUUGGGAGGGUCUUCCACGGCUCAGACGAUCAGUCCAAGUCCAACUUGACAGUGGCCACAGCCCAUAGAGGGUGAUAGGCCCGUAAGGCGGUUGUCUGGCUGUGCUGACCUCUCUCUAGAGUCGGAUUGCUUGGGAGUGCAGUCCAAAGUGCGAGGUAAACUCCUCGUAAGGCUAAAUAUAACCCCGAGACCGAUAGCAAACAAGUACAGUGAUGGAAAAUUGAAAAGAACUUUGAAGAGAGAGUUAAGAGUACGUGAAACUGUGUGGUGGUAAACGGAGGCGUUNCUCGAAGUGUCCGCGGGGGACUCAAGCUUGGUGGCNNGGGCAGCCGGCGUUCCUUGAUCAGCAAUGACUGGGUGCGUCGUGCAGGCUUGCCUCCCGGCCGCACUUUCCCCGCGGUUGACGGCAGGAACUGUUGGGACCGGACCAAAGGCCUGGGAUGAAGUUGCCGGCCCUCACGGGCUUGUAGCUCCCGGUGUCCUGGCUUCGGGCCCGACGGGGUAUGAGUGGACUUGUAUAGCAAGCGACAGCCUGUUGCGGUUCACAUCUCUCUGCCGAGUAGGUCGG